CUGGUCAAGUUUUUGAUAGAAUACAUUCGCAAUCAUUUUCACCAAAAUAUUUUUCUGACAAGGAAAGCAUUAGCAGAACCUAAAAAUUAACAGUGGAAAAUGCCUAUUUCAAGUUCCUCAUAAGAAAAUAAAUACAGGAAUUGGCAAAUUCUGUGCAGCUUUAGCUCUGAGGUAAUUAUGGCAGGCUUUUGCUUUAAUCACUUAUCUCAGGGCAGCCCAUCAGAUUAAUGAGGGGGGAAAAAAUACUAUUAAAACUUAGUGAGUUACUGGAAUUUUCUGGAACUGGAACUAUACAGAUGGUCUGCAACAUAUUUGUAUAGGAGAUGCCUGACUGUUGAUGGGUUUCCAACUAUUAUAGUAGCAUAGCAAGAAGGCAGAUAUUGGGCAGUGAGCACUGAGCAACUGUUGUCACCGAGCCUUCCCUUCUUGGCUGCUUCCCCACUCACCCAAUGAACAGUUUUGGUCUCCCAGAGCAGAGACAAAGGUUGCUUUGGAGAAGCCGGGAAGCCUAAGAACACCAUGUAGAUUUAGGGCUGGAUAGGAGGUAUUGUCUGGAGGCCAUGCCCAUUACUCAUCCGCUGGCAACGGGCUCUCUUCCUUUUGUCUGGAAAGACGGUAAACUUUCAAUGCCAUCUGAAAACAGAAGGCCUUUCACGAACUGCAAGAACUCUGCCAUCUCAAUCAUGUGAAAAUAUUGUAAACACUUUCCCAGCCCCCAUUCAGCUGUCCGAAAAGCAGAGCUAGAAAAUAUAAAACAAAACAGGAAGGAAAGAAAAGGGUGUGCGUUGCACACUUCGUUUCAAUUUCUGUAUUUACUCUUGGUAGGAAUUUUACAUGUAAUCUUCUUUUUUUUCCCUUUAUCAUUAGUGAACAGGGUUCAGUAUCUAUGAUGAGGAAAAGGCAGUUAAAAGCCUACUCUAUGUUUUAUUUAGAGGGAAAAAAAAUCCAUUACCCAACAGUUUCUGUCCAGCAGAGCUCUCAUAUUUCCUUACAGCCCCUGCAAAAGUAGAUUUCAAACAUUCUGUGGGACUUGAGUUUCUCUUUCAAUGCUCAGGUUGACCCACCCCAAUGAACUUUUCCCAGGAGGGUCUUCCCUCCAAACUUUAAAAAAACAGUAGUGCUGUAUUACUGGCAUAUCUUAACAUAUAUAAUUUCAGCUCUGGGAUCAGAGUGGGAAGUGUUUCAGAAACAAGAAUAUAUUCAAAUAACGUGUGUGUGUAUGCAUACGUGCUUACAUGUCUAUCAAACAUAGAACAUAUCAAAUAUACUUUUGCAUAUUUUUCACAAAAUUUUAAACUACCUCCCUGAUUGCACCUUCUAGAUAGGCUGUGCUGGUGCAAUAUCCCAUCCAGUGCAUGGUGUGAUCAUGUGAAAGUAACAUAGUUCCUUGCUGAAAGAGAUAUGCUCAUGCUGCUGAAGUCAGUGACUAACUGAAGUUUCAUCGUAACUUUGAACCACAGUAAUGCAUUAGAGCCUGGCUUCUUCACUAUUUCAAGUAUAAGGCUUUGAUUGAUGCUAAUCAAUUUAAUACUGGAGAACUGCACAGAAAAAUAACUAAGCAGAUAGUAAAUAGGAAAUAUGCUUUGUUUUCUUCUGUAGAAAUCCCGCUCCAGAACAAGAUCUCUGGCCCAGGCUGGUCCAUGACCCAAUAAUCAAAACAGAGCAGAACCAGAUCUUUUCCAAAGAGAAUUGACAUCUAUAGUGUUACCCCAGGCAUGUCCAACCUGUGGCGUAGCAGAGCUCACACUGCAACUGCCCCCUACUCUGCACUGUAAAGGGAGAAGUUCUUUCCCACCGAGCAGCCCAGCCUGGCCCUGGACAUACACUCAUUGUUCAUGAUCUUCUCAUACCCUGGUAAGGAAAAGCAGCAAAAACAGAAGUCUUGCAAAUGCCUACAGCCAUGGUGACAAACUUAUGAAAACUAUCCAGAAAAGGAGAACAGAAAAUUCUUUGGCAACUCUCAUCAUUACAGUUCUAGUCUGCAUUAAACACCGCAUAUUUUUGGAUAUAUGGAAGAGAGAAAGGUAGUAGCAGCUGAAAUGGUCAAAGCAGACCUCUGAGGAGAUGAUACUCAUCACAUGUCACUAUGACCUACAUCUUUGUCAACGCUGGAGAAAUGCGUUUACAAUUUUGCUAUGUGGAAUGUACAUUGAGAUGAAGAGAUAAAUGAGGAUGUAUUUAUGACAGUUUCUAACCUUUCUACUUUUCCAGACACAGAAAAGCAAUGUGAAUGCACCAUUUCAAUAAUCCCACAGUGUUCACAGAUUCAAUCAUUUGUAAAGUAUGAGUUGUGUAGCAGACAACCACCACUUCGGCACGUCACAUGGCUCACUGGCUACAGACAGCUGCUUUCCCUGUGUGUUUUCAAUAGAUUUCCUCUACUACACCUCCUGAAGUUACUUGAAAGAAUUUAAUAUUCUUACUUCCUCCUAGAUGGCAGCAGAGGGGCAGUUGACAGAAUGGUGUCUGACAUGGAAAGGCGGAUGAAGCAAAGGUGUGUCAUUGAACUCCUCCAUGCAGAAAAACAGUGGUACCUAUUGAUUUUCACUGACACUUGCUGAACAUUUAUGGAGACCAAACAGUGGAUGUGCACACAGAGAGGCGGUGUGAGGUAUAUUUCAGCAGUGGCGACAGCAAUAUGGAGGACAAGCCAUAUUCUGGAUGGCCACACACAGCUGUCAUGCCAGGAAAUGAAAAGCAUCUCAAUCAGCUCACCUGUGCAGAUUGGUGGAUUAUGACCAGGGAACUGUGUACAGAGCUAAAUACUGGCAUCAAUGCAUUGGAAAUGAUGGUGGAAACACUGAAAUAUCACAAAAUUUGCAUCAGGUAGGUUCCACAAAAGCUCAUGCAGGAACCAAAAGAAAACUGUAUGCAAGUUUGUCAGGACCUAUUGAAUCAAUAUGAGGCUGAAGGUAACAGUUUCCUGCAUCACAUCAUUAUUGGUGACAAGAUGUGGUGUCACCACUAUGAGCCAGAGUCAAGACAGCAGUCUACAGGGAAUUUACAUGCUGCUACUCCAUCAAAGAAAAAAGUUCAAGACGCAGCCCCCAGAAGGUAAAGUGAUUCACACUGUCUUAUGGGAUAGGAAAGGGAUAAUCCUACUGGAUUUCCUGGAACCCAGACAAACCACCAACUUUGACCGCUACAUCAUGACACUGACUAAACUGAAGGCUUGAACUUCCAGGGUCAGACCAGAGAAGACAACAACCUUUCUCUUGCAACACUAACACCAGGCCCCAUGCCAGUUUGAAGACUGUGGAGCAUACUUCCAGUAUUUGUUGGACCAUCCUAACACAUCUACCAUAUACUCCAGAUUUGGCACCUUCUGACUUCCAUUUGUUUCAACCAAUGAAAGAUGGACUGCAUGGGAAAUGUUUUCCUAGCAACAACACAUCAUAGCAGCUAUGAAACACUCGGUCACCUCUGCUGUUACAGGCCUUCACAAGCACAGCUUGCAGGAUCUUGCACAGCUAGUGGUGGUGACUAUUUGCUCCAUCAGAUAGUGUUAUUGUGCUCUUGGUAGCUGUUGUGGCUUCCAUAGAACAAAAAAGAAAGCAUUACUUUGAGAGUGACCUAAGUAAAUCAAACCCAGAUGAGAUUCAUAUGGGACUUGCUAAGGUGGAUAAUCCCUCCAACUGCAGUAAGACUCCAAAGAGCAGAUCUUGUCUUCUUAAAAGAGAACUGGACGAAAACAAAAUCAGCUACAUCUCAUAUACCUCAAGGCUAUUUUUAAAGCAAGUUUCUUGGCUCUGCCAGUCUAAGGCUGCUAUAAACUCUCACAAAAAUAAUGGACAACCUCAGCACAUACGAUCUCCUGCCCCACAAGAGUUAACCUCCCCCCCCCCCUCUGGAAAACAGAAAGCAACCUGUUCUCAUAUGUUUUUAAAACAAACGGUCCUAUACAAAUGCCACUACCUUUUGAGAAAGACAUACAGAACAAACACCUAAUGGAUUUUAGUCAUGCUAUUUAGUACACUGUUAGAAGAAGAACAGAUAUUACAGCAAAAAGCUCAUUAUGAAGCCAGUACAGUAUGAAACAUAGUAAAGCACUACCUCUUCAGUAGACAUUUUUGCACUUGGCACUGAACAUGUGAAGCUUAACAAAAUACUACCUUUCAUAGAAUAAAAGUCCUCUUUAUAGAAAUUAUGUCCCUGACAACAGUAUUCAUCAUUUUUCUGAACCAAAGCCUGCAAUUCUGUUGUGAUUUUCAGCUACAUCCACCACACUGACAUCUGGUCACCCAUUGGUCACCCCUUCAGAGUGCUGCAUGCAGCACAGCCAUCUGAACACUAUUGUUCUGAUUAUUGACUUAUGAUUAUGGAGUUCUCCUGUGUUAUUACAUUUUUAUGAGCAAGAGCAAGCCAAAGUGCUAUUUAUAGUUUCAGCUGGCUGGGAGGACAACCAAUUUUGUCAUUACUGACAUUACAGCCCUUCCUUUUGCUUCGGGAUAUCACUAGCUAUGAAAAAGUUGUGAAGAAGCUUUGUCUGUUAGAGAACUAACUUCUGUUUGUCCACCUUCUCAAGAAAUCAGAAUAAGCUGACAUGAGUCCAAUACUGCUUACUGUGGUAUACUAGCAUACUGCCUGAUACUAGAUUUAGUUUUAGGAUUCUGUUCUUCAGCACAGAUCAAGGUCUGGGCCCUGUACAACUCAUGUACUACCUUGCUUGACAGCUUACCAUGACCUAGCAUGACAGCUGUGGUCAUAGGUAAUCACUGCCAAAAGGGAGGAUCAUAGGAGUGGGUGGAAAGGAAAUCAGACAUUCCUGGCAGCUGGCCCACAGCUCUGAAGCUUCCUUUCACCAAACAUCAGACUGAAAACAGAUCUCCACUUGCUGAAAAGUGGAAGACCAUACUUUUCAAUCACUUUUCCUUAGUGCAACAUACAAGUGGCUUCCUUUACCUGACAAGAAAAGGAGAAAAGGCAAAGAGAAAAACAUGUGUUCAUCCAGAAGAGUGAAAACAAAGGGACAGAGAGUGCUCUUGCUCUCUGGCUUGUUACUAUCAUUUUUGUUAGCAAGAGUAGAUUAGACAGGGACUGAUGGCCCUUGGAAAACAAAACAGAGAAGUGUUUAUCAUAUAAACAUAAAGAGUUACAUAACAGAAAAGUUUUAGCCUUUUUUUUUUUUUAAUAUAUUACACAGAAAACAUAUUAUAUCAGACUUUAAUGUUAGCUUUAACUAAUAAAGUUUCAUAAAUUCAGUGACUACCUACAACUCAAUUCCUCUCAAGUGCUUGAUUGUCUCUACCUUUAAGGACAUUAACCAUUUUUUUUCCUCAUAAAUAAAUCAUGUUAACCCAACUAAGUUCUACAGUAUUUAGUUCCAUAAACUUUUCUCCGAG
ensembl:lncRNA